UACGGAGGAUGCAAGCGUUAUCCGGAAUGAUUGGGCGUAAAGCGUCCGCAGGUGGCUGUGUAAGUCUGCUGUUAAAGAGUCUAGCUCAACUAGAUAAAAGCAGUGGAAACUACACGGCUAGAGUACGUUCGGGGCAGAGGGAAUUCCUGGUGUAGCGGUGAAAUGCGUAGAUAUCGAGAGGAACACCUGCGGCGAAGGCGGGUUGCUGGGCUGAUACUGACGCUGAGGCGCGAAAGCCAGGGGAGCGAACGGG
rnacentral:rRNA from 1 species